AGCCAGACUCCUACGGGAGGCAGCAGUGGGGAAUAUUGCACAAUGGGGGAAACCCUGAUGCAGCGACGCCGCGUGAGCGAUGAAGUAUUUCGGUAUGUAAAGCUCUAUCAGCAGGGAAGAAGAUGACGGUACCUGACUAAGAAGCCCUGGCUAACUACGUGCCAGCAGCCGCGGUAAUACGUAGGGGGCAAGCGUUAUCCGGAUUUACUGGGUGUAAAGGGAGCGUAGACGGCGAUGCAAGCCAGAUGUGAAAGCCCGGGGCUCAACCCCGGGACUGCAUUUGGAACUGUGUGGCUGGAGUGUCGGAGAGGCAGGCGGAAUUCCUAGUGUAGCGGUGAAAUGCGUAGAUAUCAGGAGGAACACCGGCGGCGAAGGCGGCCUGCUGGACGAUGACUGACGUUGAGGCUCGAAAGCGUGGGGAGCAAACAGGAUUAGAUACCCCGGUAC
rnacentral:rRNA from 1 species